CUUUCUACGGAGUACAAUUGAAGUUAUCCAUACUUCAUAAAUAGUUAAUGGCCCAAUAUUCGUAUCCAGUUUUGAGAGAACUAUCUCUCAUUUAUUCUUUGAAAACUGAAUUAGACAUUGAAAAUUAAAAUAUUAAUAUUCAAAAAUUUAGAUCAACCUAUAGAAUAUUCAAAAAUAUAGAGACAAAUACAAAAACAAAACAAUAGGUCAAAAAUACUUAUACGUAAUUAAAAUAUAUAACU
rnacentral:misc_RNA from 1 species